rnacentral:rRNA from 1 species
GAUGAACGCUGGCGGCGUGCUUAAUACAUGCAAGUCGAACGGAAAGGCCCUGCUUUUGUUGGGUUCUCGAUUGGCGAACGGGUGAGUAUCACGUGUGUAACCUGUCCUUGACUUUGUGAUAUCUUCAGGAAACAGGGGCUCAUACCGCAUAGGAGCUCCUGCUGCAUGGUGUGGGUUGGAAAGAUUCGGCGGUUGGGGAUGGACUCGCGGCUUAUCAGCUUGUUGGUGGGGUAGUGGCUUACCAAGGCUUUGACGGGUAGCCGGCCUGAGAGGGUGACCGGCCACAUUGGGACUGAGAUACGGCCCAGACUCCUACGGGAGGCAGCAGUGGGGAAUAUUGCACAAUGGGCGGAAGCCUGAUGCAGCAACGCCGCGUGCGGGAUGACGGCCUUCGGGUUGUAAACCGCUUUCGCCUGUGACGAAGCGUGAGUGACGGUAAUGGGUAAAGAAGCACCGGCUAACUACGUG